UAUCACCCUAUCACGGGCUUUUGUUUGUUUGUUUUCUGGAUUAUGGAUGAGUUUGUAAGAUAUCAUGACCAUAAGAUUUUAAGUUGGAUUGUAAAUUUCGUGCAUCAUUACCACACAGUUUAUCAGAGAGAAAUGCUUCAAAUCUAAGCAGAUGGGUGUAAAUCCCACACUUGCAGAUGUUAUACAAACAGCUUCUGAUCACCUUUGAACUUAAUUCAAAGAUAAAGGUAAAAGUCAGACACCCUUCUGCAGAACUGAAGCAACAAAUCAAAUACCUCCUUUCUUCAGAAAAAAAAAAAUUACUUUCAAGUUUCCUCUGAACACUUACAGUGAAACUAUUCUAAGAACAAAGAAAUCCAGUCAAGUAAAGAAGCAUAAAUUUGAAGAAGCUUACAUUCCCUGCAAAGUCACGUUUCAGCUUACCGUUCACAAACAAUCCAGGUAAAAUCUGCUCUGACAAGGACUCUGAGUAGAACACCAUGGAAAACAACACAUUCCUGGAGACUUCCAGUUUGUCUCUCCAUCAAGACUGAAGAAAAUGGAGACACAUAAAUGGUAUAGAGUCAGUGCACGUAGCAUAAAAGCACUGUAAAAAAAUAUGUCUGUAUAUAUGUUCUAAAUUCCUAUUUAAAUCUAGGGUGCACCACUUCACGCAAGCACUACAUGUGGUUUAUUGCCCACUCAUAUAAAGCAUCUCAACUUUAUUAGUUUUUGCCCUUCUUGAUCGCUCAUUUUCCUUGAGUGAAGUGAGGCCAGGGUAUUUGUUUUUUCAUCUCUACUCAUCCCUAUGGGGAAAGGAAAUAAAACAUCCUAGUGAUUUUCUACUCACAUUCUAUCUGCACUUAAUUCCCAGAACUCCAAAACUAUUGCACCAAAUGCAGUCUUUAAAUAUUUAUGGAAUAUUGAAAAAUAUAUUCAGUUUCCACUAUUUGAAAUAGUAGACUUGGAAGAGAAGAAGGAAAUUGCAGUCAUGCUCUCAGUCUUAUCCAUAACUCUGAAAUCAUUUCAGUCUAAAAGAAUACACAGUUCUAUCUACUGCUGUAAAAACAUUUCUGUGUGGGAGGGUAGAACUUUGAACUGCAACUAAAUUACUAAAACUGUUUUUUAAGACAAGGGUCUUUCUGCAGUACUGUGCUAGUAGCAUACUAUUAUGUUAUCCUACUACUCGAGUAGAAGAUUGGUUGGAAUACCUAGCUUUUAGAAAACUUCAUUCUUAGAAAUGUAUUAGAUACCAACAUUUUUAUACAUACGUUGCACUGAGCUGCUUAGGCUUGGCAAAAUCAUUUCCAGCACAGUUUAGUAGUGGCAGUUGUUUCUUGAAGGAGCACUGAACUAUCAAACACAUCACCUGCUUUGUAACAGCAACAAAACGCCUGUAUUCUCACCUUGUCAAGGAUAUAUUGCUGCCUAAACCCUCUCAAUAAACCUACAAAAUGUAUUACUCAACACUGGAUUGCUCAAGCUUAAAAAGACAAACCUUCAAAGUACUUCACGUUAUAUAUGUCAACAGCAACAAGAAAAAAAAAAACCAAGAAAAUUAAAAUAGCUUCUGCUAACUUCUCAUUUCAAAUCGCCUUUAGAAACAUACAAGGCAGUAACACGUACUCAGCAACUCAUUAUAAAAACGUGUUCCUGUUUGUAAACUGCUGCUUAACACCUUAAGAUAUAGGAACAUUUUGCCUCAAAAAAAACAAACAAAAAACCAACCACCACCACCAAAAAAAAACACCAAAAAACCCCCGCACGUAAAACCCAGCACUAAUCACUUUCCUCUGAAGGUAAUGUGGAAGAUUUCUAAGCGAUAAAAAGGAAUCUUAUUGGUAGAGCAGCAGAGUAUAUGGGAUAUCUCAGUAAUGAAUGGAUGAAGAGUCUGAGUAACAUGUUGAACUCAUUGAGAAAAGAAACCUGAGGACUCUCCCCAGUGUUUAAAUCUGUCCUGGAGGAAAUCCCAACGUCAUCCCUUGCUAGACAUGUUUCUGUAAGCAAUGAAGAUCAGUACUUUGGAACUUUCUCGCUACUCCGAGUCCAAAAAUUAACACCCUCCCCCCCUAGAACUAUGCACACUGUAUUCCAGAAAAGCAUAUGUGUAGUUAUUUGCUGAAUUAAAAUCAACUUAUUGCUCAUUUCCAUUUGGAAAUCUAUCCAGGACUCCCCAGGCUGUGGUUCAGCAUGAGAUGAAUUCUCUUCCUGCCCAAGCAGUCCAGACGAUAGCAGUGUUUCACAUUCAGUUAUGAG
rnacentral:lncRNA from 1 species